ensembl:lncRNA
UACCAGAUUGCAUUUUUCUGUCAUUUCAGGGCACCAAGGAAGAGAACCAAUGGCAGAAGUCACACAUGCAAGCAAGAUGGGAGUCUGGAGAGCCUCAGGCUAAAUCACCAGUGCUCAGCCCUCUUCUCUUUCAAAGAUCAAAUUCUGGGAGUUUACAUUUCUGAAACUUGGGUCAAGGUCCUGACCAAUCCUCAAAAGAGCAACUGUGUGGACAUCUGUGGCAAUGUCAGAUUCACUGAAUCCCAAGACAAGGAGCUCUUUGAUAAUGGGCUAGAGGAAAGUGUGAAAGAAUGGUUUAGAACUAAUUCAAGAAAGAACAAUCUGAUUCCCACUUGGAGGAGGACGCAGGAGCUGAAUCAGAUGGGGCUGUGGUGCCUGGGGAGGAGGAAAUUGUGAGUACUUGCUCUUGAUUGAGUAUCAUUAUCCUCCUGUUGUCUAGGAAGAUGAUUGUUAUAAUUAGCCACAAAUGUCAUGGGCAACUAUAAUUUACCUUUUCCUGUAACAACUGAUAGUUUACCUUUUCAAUGCCUCCUUUUAUCUUCCCACCAUGGGGCUUUCCCCAUCCCUCCAUAACAA